UGCUUCUCCGUAGGCCUGGCUGCUGCUGCUGCUCGCCGGAGUAUUAUUCGCUGCCGUCAUUAUUGCCGGACGGAUUAAUCUUUUACAGGUCUGUAUUUGUGCGGAGUCUAUGAAGCCUGUAUUUAUGGAGUCUAUGCACGAGAGAGAAAUUAAUGAAAGGGGUGGUGGUGGGUGCAUGUUUAAGGAUAUUUGUGACACUGAUAAUAAUAAUAUAUAAUGUAGAUUUGAUUUUGAUUUUGAUUUUGAUUUGAUAAUAAAGAAUGUAUACAAUACAAUACAAUACAAUACAUACAACAACAGGCCUGGAAACAACUUUUGAAGAUGA